UUUUAGUUUUAAAGUGUGUCGACAGAUGGCAGUGAAUUUACUGGGGUUACAAAAUUUACUAUGACAGUACCGCUCUAUGAUUAUUCGAGGUAUAGUUUUGGCCAAAAGUAUUUGUCCAUUUUUAUAAGUUAAUACCUUAUACCUUAAGGUUAGUGUUAUUUAUUUGAUGAAAUCAGAUCUGACAUAUUCGUAAUUAUAUUAAUAACCUGCAGCUUUUCUGUAAGUUUAUUAUGUUUCUAUUACUAAUAGAACUUAAUAAAUAUAAGGACAUUUGUGACGUUUUCAACCAAAAGGUACCACAUUGUCGCUGGUUGAUAAGGUUGAUUUCUAAUUGAAGCUAUAUGGAAAUAGCGCCUUACUGACAAGCGACAAUAAGUACCCUUUUGGUUGAAAAUGGCACAUUUAAGGACUUUUUUUAAAGCCAAAACUUCUUGAUUAAUAUAUAAUAGCACAGUAAGUGGAAGUCACGCACACUUUGUAAAUUCUAUACUUUUUGUUACCUAUGUGUGAUUCCUUUUAUAGAUCAUUCAUUUUAUUCUCAACUUAAAUAGCUAGUUCUAUAAACAGUCCAAUAUAUUUGUUAUUACACCUUGUGGAAGCAAUUCGUCAAUGUGAUAUAUUAUAUUAUGUAGCGUAGUUAUAAUUUAACUUUUUUUGUACAUAUAUAUCUCGUUUAUUUGGAAGUCAGUCAUAUCAAUAAAACAGUUGCAUAAUAGUAGAUUGUACAAUGAGAUCAUAAAAAAUGUUUGAGAAUCGAGAAUAAAAUGCAUUACCUACCUAAUAUUGUCUUCGGUUACCGCGAUAGUUACUCAUGAAAUAAAACUAUGAAAACGGAUUAUAUCGCGUAUAUUGAAUUUAUAAUACAUCCCGUUUCGAACCCUUUACAGCGUUCGUGGUCAACGGGUGACUGAGAAAAAAUUACAAAGUGCAAAAAUACCCACAUACUAAAAUAAUGAACAAUCAUAGAAUACAAACUUUAAGGCUGGUUGUACUAGCCUUAUGAACCGAUUUUGCAUGUACAACCAGCCUUAAAGUUUGUAGUCUAUGAUUGUUCAUUAUGUUAGUAUGUGGGUAUUUUUACACUUUGUAAUUUUUUUCUCAGUCACCCGUUGACCACGAACGCUGUAAGUGUUCGAAACGUCGGGAUGUAUUAUAAAUUCAAUAUACGCGAUAUAAUCCGUUUUCAUAGUUUUAUUUCAUUACCUACCUUUUUACUUUAAUUGCAAGGAAACUAAAUAAAUUGCACUAUGUUUAAACCUGUGUUCGAAUCACGUUCGAGACGGUGAUUUUCUAUUUAUUAACCGACUUCAAUUUCAUAGAAGGAGGAGGUUCUGUAUUGUAUUCUGUUGUGGCUAUUUUUUUAUGUAUGUUCACCGAUUACUCCGAGACCCGUGGUCCGAUUUGAGUAAUUCUUUUUUCUGAAAGUGUUCUGUAUCAUUAUGUCAUUGACUGAUCUCCUAAAUUUUGUAAAUAACUCCAUGGUUUUUAGGACUGUCGCCAUCAAUAUCAGCGCUUAAAAAUAUCUAAACACAUCUGCAGAUGGCAUAUAGUCGAGAAAUUGGGACGGGUACCGCCGUGGCGAGGUGCCCUAGAGGUUCAUGGCGUUAGCCGCGAUAGCUAAAGACGUUGGUUCGAAAUCGGCCUUCACCACUGAAGGACUUCGUCACUUUUUCUUUAAUAUAUGACGUCUAUUACAGUUAAUAAACACAUCUACACUAAUAAUUAUCAAGGUACUGUGCAUUUCAAUAGCUGUAACAGACGGGCGUACCUCGACCUUGCUCCGAUCAGCAUCUCUCUCGCUCUCACUUACAGCUGCGCCCUUAACGGACCUACGGCGGACCACCUUCCACUCGAUCGGUCAGGCUUUGGACCGGACCAAGGUGACGGUCCGGUACGCCCGUCUGUUACAGCUUUUAGAUAUUUCGAGCACUCCGGCUAAUAUUGAUGGAUGUCAACAUGGUCAAAUUUAGAUUAUUAAAUUAAUUAGUUAGACAAAAUCCAAAAUUCUAGACUAAAAUAGAUCUGACAAAUUGGUAUUUAUUAUUGGAAUUAGAUGUUUUAUUUACCCAUUUUAGUUUUUAAGUGUAUGUGAUCUAUUUCUAUAUGAUAUUUUACACAUAUCUUAACUUUGUGAUCAGUUUACUGUACUGAUAAAUAUAUGUUAGUUAUAU